GUCUAAGAAAAGUCUAUAGUGAACCGGUUGAGAAGUAGGCCUUAUUAGCUACAAUCGCCAACUAGAGAUCCUUAGAAGCAAACUAAGGAGGAGGCCAUCUUAGUGUUGAUUUGAUCUCCGAGGCACCCCUCCAUAUGUGACUUAGCAGGCUCAGUAUUAGUAACAAUAACAGCCUUUUUGAGGAUGUAGAUAUACCUUCAAGGUUUGAAAGCAGUACUUAGGUCUUACAACAACAAAAAUGGUACACCUACUAUAUACCUAGUAGGGCUGGGCU
rnacentral:lncRNA from 1 species